CCCUGUCUCUACUAAAAAUACAAAAAAUUAGCCAGGUAUGGUGGUGGGCGCCUGUAGUCCCAGCUACUUGGGAGGCUGAGGCAGGAGAAUCACUUGAACCCGGGAGGUGGAGGUUAUAGUGAGCUGAGAUCACGCUGCUGCACUGCAGCCUGGGUGACAGAGCAAGAUACUAUUUCAAAAAAAAAAAAGAAAUUAUUAAAUAUAUUUGUUCAUUUGUUUAAGCAUAUCAAAAUUUGUGGUUAUAAGCAUAGUUGGUCCAUUGAUCAUGGCAGCAAGAAUGAGAGUUGAUAAAAGAGGAAA
rnacentral:lncRNA from 1 species